rnacentral:rRNA from 1 species
CUGACGGAGCGACGCCGCGUGAGCGAUGAAGGCCUUCGGGUUGUAAAGCUCUUUUCUACGGGAGGAAGCCGCAAGGUUGACUGUACCGUAGGAAUAAGCACGGGCUAAGUUCGUGCCAGCAGCCGCGGUAAGACGAACCGUGCGAACGUUGUUCGGAAUCACUGGGCUUAAAGGGCGCGUAGGCGGGCUGUCAAGUCCGGGGUGAAAUCUUUCGGCUUAACCGGAAAAGUGCCUUGGAUACUGACAGUCUCGAGGGAGGUAGGGGCAGCUGGAACUUCCGGUGGAGCGGUGAAAUGCGUUGAUAUCGGAAGGAACUCCGGUGGCGAAAGCGAGCUGCUGGACCUCUUCUAACGCUGAGGCGCGAAAGCUAGGGGAGCAAACGGGAUUAGAUACCCCGGUAGUCCUAGCCCUAAACGAU